rnacentral:rRNA from 1 species
AAGGGCACCACAAGAACGCGUGGAGCAUGUGGCUUAAUUUGACUCAACGCGGGAAAUCUUACCGGGACCGGACACACUGAGGAUUGACAGGCAAUAUUAAAAAUGUUUGUAAUUUAUUUUAUAAACUUAUUUUUAUGUUAAAUAUGCUAGUCCUUUCAUGAUUAUGUGAUAGGUGGUGCAUGGCCGUUCUUAGUUNGUGGAGUGAUCUGUCUGCUUAAUUGCGUUUCACUAAGAACUCUAUUAAAAUCGUAUGCAUUGUUGACUUUAUAUUGACCCCUUAUCUUUACGGGUAAGCGUGUUUGUCCUUAUAUUGUUCCAACAUCAUACAAAUUGGGUCCUGAAAGCAACGAACGUGACCGCAACCUCUUGUUGCCUUUGCUAUUAAAUAUAUUGUCAGUGCAUUCGUGUAUUGAUAUUUAUAUUGAAAAAGGCUAUAUAUUAUAUAUAAAACUAGAGGGACCGCUGUUUCUUUCUUAAACCAGAGGAAGGAUGCGGCAAUAACAGGUCUGUGAUGCCCUUAGAUGUUCCGGGCUGCACACGUGCUACAAUGAUUAUUGCACUGAGCAUCUCAUUUUUACACACUUGCGCGGGAAGGAUAUGUUUAACAUUACUGUUAUUCAUUGUUCUUACUCUGUGCGCGGUAAAGCCUGCUUCGACAGUAAGUGGGUAAUCAAUUAGAAGUAAUGAUUUCCUUAUUUAGCACAAUUAUAUACGGCGUUUAUGACCGGGUUAUCCUUUGUGGUAGCUUUUGUGUUCAUGAAUGUAUUUUUCCGUAUGUGCAAAUGUCAAUUCAUUGUGGGGACAGACCAUUGUUAAUUGUUGGUCUCGGUCUUAACUAGGAAUGCCUUGUACGGGUCUUUGGUUCAACAAACCACCCGGAAUACGUCCCUGCCCUUUGUACACACCGCCCGUCGCUCUUACCGAUGGACUUCUCUGUGAGUUUGAGGGACUGGGAAAAUAUAACGAAUUUAUUCGUUGUAUCACCUAUGGAAACUUAAACGAACAGUGUGGUCUAAAGGAAAGAGAAGUCGUAACAAGGCAUCGGUAGGUGAACCU